GGGUUUGAUCCUGGCUCAGAGCGAACGCUGGCGGCAGGCUUAACACAUGCAAGUCGAACGAUAAGCUAGACUUCGGUUUAGUGGACAGUGGCAGACGGGUGAGUAACGCGUGGGAAUCUACCUUUGAGUGGGGAAUAACAAUUAGAAAUGAUUGCUAAUACCGCAUACACCCUUCGGGGGAAAGGCUUCGGCCGCUCUUAGAUGAGCCCGCGUACGAUUAGUUUGUUGGUGAGGUAAAGGCUCACCAAGACUACGAUCGUUAGCUGGUUUGAGAGGAUGAUCAGCCACACUGGGACUGAGACACGGCCCAGACUCCUACGGGAGGCAGCAGUGGGGAAUAUUGGACAAUGGGCGAAAGCCUGAUCCAGCCAUGCCGCGUGAGUGAAGAAGGCCUUAGGGUUGUAAAACUCUUUCGACAGGGAAGAUAAUGACGGUACCUGUAGAAGAAGCUCCGGCUAACUCCGUGC
rnacentral:rRNA from 1 species